GGUGCAGGAUUGGGCCGCCGAGGGUCCACUUCUUCCUCUCCCUCCCACUCAAAAAGAACCAGCUCCUCCUCCUCCCUGUCUGUUGGGCCCACGACAUCCACCGGUCACACCGCUGCAAAGAGGAGACUGGAGCCGACAGUCUGGCGGUGUGGC